GGCCACUACGCGCGGGAAGAUGGCGGAGCCGGUUACCAAGUCCGUGCUGUUUGUGUGUCUGGGUAACAUUUGUCAAUCACCCAUUGCAGAAGCAGUUUUCAGGAAACUUGUAACUGAUCAAAACAUCUCAGAGAAUUGGGUCAUUGACAGUGGUGCUGUUUCUGACUGGAACGUGGGCCGGUCCCCAGACCCAAGAGCUGUGAGCUGCCUAAGAAAUCAUGGCAUUCACACAGCCCAUAAAGCAAGACAGAUUACCAAAGAAGAUUUUGCCACAUUUGAUUAUAUACUAUGUAUGGAUGAAGGCAAUCUGAGAGAUUUGAAUAGAAAAAGUAAUCAAGUUAAAACCUGCAAAGCUAAAAUUGAACUACUUGGGAGCUAUGAUCCACAAAAACAACUUAUUAUUGAAGAUCCUUAUUAUGGGAAUGACUCUGACUUUGAGGCGGUGUACCAGCAGUGUGUCAGGUGCUGCAGAGCAUUCUUGGAGAAGGCCCACUGAGGCAGGUUUGUGCCCUGCUGCAGUCAGCCUGACUAGACCCCACCCUGAGGCCCUGCGUUUCCCAGUUAGUGUGUAAUAAUGUUCCAGAGCCCAAAGCCCCAGCUCUUUGUUCAGUUGACUUAACUGUUUCUUACCUUACAAAAUAAUUCUAGGUGGAAAUCAGUGGUGAUUGGCAGAAGAAUAAAUAAAAACCUUUGAUUCAGACAGUU